rnacentral:misc_RNA from 2 species
AACCUCACCCCAACCGGGUUUUUGCCCGGCUGGCGGUGGAUUGGGCGUCUGCCAAUUUACUGGCUCGCCUCAAAAGCAUAAGCGCCUUGGAUGUAAUACGUUUCAUCCUCUCGGGUGGCUGACAACCCCACAUAUCUCAUG